GGUGACCUCCCGGGAAGUCCUCG
rnacentral:snRNA from 1 species